AGAGUUUGAUCAUGGCUCAGGACGAACGCUGGCGGCGUGCUUAACACAUGCAAGUCGAACGAGGUCCAUCCGGUGGCAACACCGGAGAAGACUUAGUGGCGAACGGGUGAGUAACACGUGAGCAACCUGCCCCGAAGACCGGGAUAACAGCGGGAAACCGCUGCUAAUACCGGAUACCCCCACCGGGUCACAUGGCUCGAUGAGGAAAUGGAUUCCGCUUCGGGAGGGGCUCGCGGCCUAUCAGCUUGUUGGUGAGGUAACGGCCCACCAAGGCGACGACGGGUAGCUGGUCUGAGAGGACGAUCAGCCACACUGGGACUGAGACACGGCCCAGACUCCUACGGGAGGCAGCAGUGGGGAAUCUUGCGCAAUGGGCGAAAGCCUGACGCAGCAACGCCGCGUGAGGGAUGAAGGCCUUCGGGUUGUAAACCUCUUUCGAGCAGGGACGAUAAUGACGGUACCUGCAGAAGAAGCUCCGGCCAACUACGUGCCAGCAGCCGCGGUAAUACGUAGGGAGCGAGCGUUGUCCGGAUUCAUUGGGCGUAAAGAGCUCGUAGGCGGCUUGAUAAGUCGGAUGUGAAACCUCCAGGCUCAACCUGGAGUCGCCAUCCGAUACUGUCAUGGCUAGAGUCCGGUAGGGGCCCACGGAACUCCUGGUGUAGCGGUGAAAUGCGCAGAUAUCAGGAAGAACACCGGUGGCGAAGGCGGUGGGCUGGGCCGGCACUGACGCUGAGGAGCGAAAGCGUGGGGAGCGAACAGGAUUAGAUACCCCAGUAGUCC
rnacentral:rRNA from 1 species